GGGAGUAUAGCUCAGUGGUAGAGCACAUGCUUAGCAUGCACAAGGUCCUGGGUUCAACCCCUAGUAUAUCCA
rnacentral:tRNA from 1 species